rnacentral:rRNA from 1 species
UACGGGGGGGGCAAGCGUUGUUCGGAAUUACUGGGCGUAAAGGGCUCGUAGGUGGCCAACUAAGUCAUACGUGAAAUCCCUCGGCUUAACCGGGGAACUGCGUCUGAUACUGGAUGGCUUGAGGUUGGGAGAGGGAUGCGGAAUUCCAGGUGUAGCGGUGAAAUGCGUAGAUAUCGGGAGGAACACCGGUGGCGAAGGCGGCGACCUGGGUAGAUACUGACGCUGAGGUGCGAAAGCGUGGGGAGCAAACAGG